UUUCAUUUAUUGUUUUGUAUUGUCAUCCAUGUUUGUGACCAGUUUUCUCAUCGUUACACCCGCAGCGGUUGUGAAGGCUCGACAUAUAUAAAGCUGAAUUGUAUUGUAUUCCCAUUGAAUGGAUGCAUAGCGCAACCACAGCCAUGAUUGCCAUUUGGCGAUGGUAUGCCUGAUAGUGCAGAAAAGACAGUCAGUGCCAAAAAGGCCCUAUGUUCGAAAUCCAUCCAUUUUCUAAAUGUAUUCUAGAAACAAACACGGUAUAGAUUAUUUAAACCCGCAUGAUGACAAAAGCUAAGUAUCACCUCGGAAUCGAAUUGUUGAAAGCCAUUAUGAGGGACAAAUGUCGGACAAACUGCAACUUUUAACCCAUUCACUCCCAAAGACGUUUUUAAACGUCUUUUCAGACUUUGUCUAGAAUUGGCUGGUCCUGAAUGAGUUUUAAUAGAGAGGCAACAUUCCAAACGCAU